rnacentral:rRNA from 1 species
GGCAGCAGUGAGGAAUAUUGGACAAUGGACGAAAGUCUGAUCCAGCUAUGCCGCGUGCAGGAUGACGGCCCUAUGGGUUGUAAACUGCUUUUAUACAGGAAGAAAAACUCCGACGUGUCGGAACUUGACGGUACUGUAAGAAUAAGGAUCGGCUAACUCCGUGCCAGCAGCCGCGGUAAUACGGAGGAUCCAAGCGUUAUCCGGAAUCAUUGGGUUUAAAGGGUCCGUAGGCGGUUUUUUAAGUCAGAGGUGAAAUCCUGCAGCUCAACUGUAGAAUUGCCUUUGAUACUGAAAGACUUGAGUUAUUGUGAAGUGGUUAGAAUGUGUGGUGUAGCGGUGAAAUGCAUAGAUAUCACACAGAAUACCAAUUGCGAAGGCAGAUCACUAACAAUAUACUGACGCUCAGGGACGAAAGCGUGGGUAGCGAACAGGAUUAGAUACCCUGGUAGUCCACGCCGUAAACGAUGGAUACUAGCUGUAUGUCUACUUCAGGUAGAUGUGUGGCUAAGCGAAAGUGAUAAGUAUCCCACCUGGGGAGUACGAUCGCAAGAUUGAAACUCAAAGGAAUUGACGG